AACUAUUGUUUGAAUAGUUGAUCACCAUAUUUAGCGGGACACCUGCUUGAAUAUCGCUACUGUCCCGCCAAAAUCGGGACGUCUGGUCACACUAUCAGUAUAGUCCCAGUUCCCAUUCGUGGUUGUUCUCUCUCGACUCUCAGUAACGGGAAAUAAAAGUCGUCUGCGCGUUAAUGUAAAACGAAAAAAGGCUAGGUUAAACGAAGGCUUGAUUAAAUGGUUUACUAAUAAGAAGGCUAAAAAUGAAAAUGCAUUAGAUGAAGAUUUUACACGGAACAUAGACACUCCUUCGUUAUUGUUCAGUCCGAACUCGGUCGAAAUUUUAUCGUAAGUCUCUAAAAACCUAGUUAAAUUUUAGACACUAUAAUCAAACUUUAAAAUAAAAAACCACUGGUAUUUUAAAUCAAACAUCUAUAAAUAUCCGAAAUAGUCCACAUUUUUUCUGUAGUUGGUGAAAAAUUCAAGAUUUUAGUUUAAAAAAUUCGAUUUUAUAGGCAGUUAAAUUUUUUUCAUUUUGCGA